AAGAAAGACAAGACAGACACGAGCGCUGACUGCAACUAUUUAAUCAAAUUAAGUUGAUUAAAUAGUUGCAGUCAGCGCUCGUGUCUGUCUUGUCUUUC
rnacentral:pre_miRNA from 1 species